GUUCAUAGUAGCUUGUUUAGAAACAUACUGGUUGGCUCAAAUAGCCAUAAAGCUGGUUAAUUUUCUUUGUUUUUGGUCCCUGUGUUCUAAUAAUGACCUUAGUUAAUCUUCUAUAGUCACUUCCAACUCCAAUUUAAAAUGAAACUACAAAUCCAAAAAAAUAUAUAUUUUAUUUAGUGCAUAGAAAUAAUUCUUGCAUCAAAUGCUCAUGAUUCAAUGACAUCCUAUGAUGAAUCUUGGAUGCGCAUGUGGUGCCCACCUCGCAUGUGCAACAGAUACCUAAUGCUUCUUUACAAGGAGCAUUGGAAUGGACCACGCCGGAGGACGCCAUGCC